CCUACGGGGGGCAGCAGUGAGGAAUAUUGGUCAAUGGCCGGAAGGCUGAACCAGCCAUGCCGCGUGAAGGUCAGUGCCCUAUGGGCGUUAAACUUCUUUUGUGCGGGAGCAAUAAUGGUCACGUGUGGCCCGACGAGAGUACCGUACGAAUAAGCAUCGGCUAACUCCGUGCCAGCAGCCGCGGUAAGACGGGGGGUGCAAGCGUUAUCCGGAUUUAAUGGGUUUAAAGGGUGCGUAGGCUGUGAGGUAAGUCAGCGGUGAAAUGCCCCCGCUCAACGGGGUGAAGUGCCAUUGAUACUGCCUUGCUGGAAUGCGGAUGCGGUGGGAGGAAUGUGUGGUGUAGCGGUGAAAUGCAUAGAUAUCACACAGAACACCGAUUGCGAAGGCAUCUCACGAAACCGCGAUUGACGCUGAUGCACGAAAGCGUGGGUAUCAAACAGGAUUAGAUACCCCAGUAGUC
rnacentral:rRNA from 1 species